rnacentral:misc_RNA from 1 species
UCUCCGUAGGUGAACCUGCGGAGGGAUCAUUACAGAGUUCUCGCCUUCGCGGGUAGAUCUCCCACCCACUGUUAUCGUUACUGUGUUGCUUUGGCGGGCCGCCGGGCCCCGCUCGGCCGCCGGCUCCGGCUGGCGCGCGCCCGCCAGAGGCCCAGCAAACUCUGAAUGUUAGUGUCGUCUGAGUACUAUAUAAUAGUUAAAACUUUCAACAACGGAUCUCUUGGUUCUG